CCCGCCCUACAAGCGCCCGGAGGGGCCUCGCCGGGCCUGAAAGACCUGGCGGAUUGCGUCCGAGCUCCGGUGCGCGGGUGUUGUGGCCCUGGCGGGGGAGGGCGGUUGCUCUAGGUACCGGGCCCGGCCUGCCCCACCCCAGUUCCCUCAGCACACGAAAACUGGGAGGCUUAGGCCCGGCGGCAAGGGUAGGGCAAACUAGCCUCCUCUCGUCCGCCCCUCGAAACUUCUGAGGUCUUCCCAGGAGCACCCGGUCUGAGAUGGGGUCCCAGGUCUCCGUGGACGUGGGAGCUGUGAACGUGGUGGUCGUGGGUGGCGGCUUUGGUGGGAUCGCCGCCGCCAGCCAGCUGCAGGCUCUGAACAUCCCCUUCGUGCUGGUGGACAUGAAGGACUCCUUCCACCACAACGUGGCAGCCCUCCGGGCCUCCGUGGAAAGCGGGUUUGCCAAAAAGACAUUCAUUUCCUACUCGGAGACCUUUAAGGAAAACUUCCGGCAGGGGCUGGUGGUACAGGUGGACCUGCAGAAUCAGACGGUGCUGCUCGAGGAUGGCGAGGCCCUGCACUUCUCACAUCUUAUCCUGGCCACUGGCAGCACCGCCUUCUUUCCGGGCAAGUUUAACCGGGUGGCCAGCCGGGAGGUUGCUAUCCAGGCCUACGAGGACAUGGUGAAGCAGGUCCGGCGCUCACGGUCCGUGGUGGUGGUGGGAGGCGGCUCUGCCGGAGUGGAGAUGGCGGCAGAGAUUAAAACCGAAUUCCCCGAGAAAGAGGUCACUCUCAUCCACUCCCACGUGGCCCUUGCCGACAAGGAGCUCCUGCCCUGUGUCCGGCAGGAAGUGAAGGAGAUCCUGCUCCAGAAAGGCGUGCGGCUGCUGCUGAGUGAACGGGUGAGCAAUCUGGAGGAGCUGCCCCUCAACGAGUAUCGAGAGUGCAUCCAGGUGCACACGGACAAAGGCACAGAGGUGGCCACUAAUCUGGUGAUUGUCUGCAAUGGUAUUAGGAUCAACAGCGCCGCCUACCGCAGUGCGUUCGAAAGUCAUCUGGCCAGCGAUGGCGCUCUGCGAGUGAACGAGUAUCUCCAGGUGGAGGGCUGCAGCCACAUCUAUGCCAUCGGCGACUGCGCAGAUGUGAGGGAGCCCAAGAUGGCCUACCACGCCGGCCUCCACGCCAACGUUGCCGUGGCCAACAUCGUCAACGCCAGGAAACAGAGGCCCCUCAAGGCCUACAAGCCAGGCGCGCUGACGUUCCUCCUGGCCAUGGGGAGAAAUGACGGCGUGGGCCAGAUCAGCGGCUUCUAUGUGGGGCGGCUCAUGGUUCGGCUGGCCAAGAGCCGGGACCUGUUCGUCUCCUCGAGCUGGAAGACCAUGCGGCAGUCUCCACCCUGAGCGGGAGCUGGGCCGCCGCCAGGUGAACGGAUUGCUUGACCUGAGGUCCCGAUGAUAUACCAUAGGUUACAUUUAAGAAGAAAGAGUUAGAUAAAUUUCCCUCCCGGUUAGCCUAUCCUAACAGAGAGUGAGUUUUUCCAAAGCUAACAGGUUAAGACGGAAGCCUGGCCCGCCAGCCGCUGGACAUGUUAAGGAAAGGCAGCCGAGCUAAUGGGACCCUUGGGAUGACUACCCCACCGGAGGCUUCACCCAGGGCCCCGUUCCUGUGGGCCACGGCCAACCAGGCUCCCCUUCUGGAAGCAGGACCUGCUGCCUGAGAGACACAGGCUAUUCUGUGCCGUCUGACCUGGGGACUAGCAGGGUGGGAGUCUUGGCUCAUUAGUGACAGGCCUUGUUCUAUUUAUAACAUUUUACAAGUGUCCCCCCAUGGGGACAUGGUUUUUCCAAACUGAGGAAAAUAUUGCAAUAAAAGAAUAUGUUGUAAGAAAGACA